AAAGGGAGAUUAAUACCGCAUAACCCAUGAUUUCCGCAUGGAAGCCAUGGUAAAGAUUUAUCGCUUUGAGAUGGACCCGCGGCGCAUUAGCUAGUUGGUGAGGUAACGGCUCACCAAGGCCACGAUGCGUAGCCGACCUGAGAGGGUGAUCGGCCACAUUGGAACUGAGACACGGUCCAGACUCCUACGGGAGGCAGCAGUGGGGAAUAUUGCACAAUGGGCGAAAGCCUGAUGCAGCAACGCCGCGUGAGUGAUGAAGGUCUUCGGAUUGUAAAGCUCUGUCUUUUGGGACGAUAAUGACGGUACCAAAGGAGGAAGCCACGGCUAACUACGUGCCAGCAGCCGCGGUAAUACGUAGGUGGCAAGCGUUGUCCGGAUUUACUGGGCGUAAAGGGUGCGUAGGUGGAUAUUUAAGUCAGAUGUGAAACCCCUGGGCUCAACUCAGGGACUGCAUUUGAAACUGGAUAUCUUGAGUGCGGGAGAGGUAAGUGGAAUUCCUAGUGUAGCGGUGAAAUGCGUAGAGAUUAGGAAGAACACCAGUGGCGAAGGCGACUUACUGGACCGUAACUGACACUGAGGCACGAAAGCGUGGGUAGCAAACAGGAUUAGAUACCCUGGUAGUCCACGCCGUAAACGAUGAGUACUAGGUGUAGGGGGGUAUCGACUCCCCCAGUGCCGCAGUUAACACAAUAAGUACUCCGCCUGGGAAGUACGAUCGCAAGAUUAAAACUCAAAAGAAUUGACGG
rnacentral:rRNA from 1 species